UUGCUUUGGCAGCACAUAUACUAAAAUUGGAAUGAUACAGAGAAGAUUAGCAUGGCCCCUGUGCAAGGAUGAUACGCAAAUUCUAGAAGCAUUCCAUAUUUUU
ensembl:snRNA U6 U6 spliceosomal RNA